rnacentral:rRNA from 1 species
UACCAGCACCCCGAGUGGUCGGGACGUUUAUUGGGCCUAAAGCAUCCGUAGCCGGUUCUACAAGUCUUCCGUUAAAUCCAACUGCUUAACAGGUGGGCUGCGGAAGAUACUAUAGAGCUAGGAGGCGGGAGAGGCAAGCGGUACUCGAUGGGUAGGGGUAAAAUCCGUUGAUCCAUUGAAGACCACCAGUGGCGAAGGCGGCUUGCCAGAACGCGCUCGACGGUGAGGGAUGAAAGCUGGGAGAGCAAACCGG